rnacentral:lncRNA from 1 species
GAACCCACUCUGUAGGGUCAGCAUAUCAUAAGUUAACCUUGGCUACCAUAGAGUCACAGGAAUCAAACCUGGUCUUCUCUAAUGGACUCUCUAUGGGUCACAGGAAUCAAACCUGGUCUUCCCUCUGCACUGGUCUUGGGUCAAGGGAAUUAAACCCUGUCUUCCCUCACAGUUAUAAUUCACUGGGUUUUCGAAACACAACAUGUGUUAAGCCUGGUUUGACUCAUUUCUCAUCAAGAAACUGAAAACAGGAUACAUGCAUAUACAAGGGAUGAAAUAUACUAUAGGCAAAGC